AUGUACAUUCCUACAACAUAGCGUUAAUGCACCAUAUCCCAUUAGAAAUUUGCAAUUAAGCAUGCUCAGGCUAGAGUAGUACUGGGAUGGAUGACCUCCGAGGAAGUCCUAGUGUUUUAAAUG
rfam:Picea glauca, whole genome shotgun sequence.